GGAGACGCGGCCACAGCGACGGCUGUGUUAUGUGUGCGCGCUGUUGCGCUGUACUGCUGUGCAAGGUAGUGCAAGGUGCAAACGCAAAGUGCUGGGACAACGCGACUAUAGUAAACGCCCUACGAUGAAUCGGAUACACGCGAGAGAUGUGCUUCGUGCGACGCUGUGCGCACACAAGUUCUCGCUACCGAAAGCCGACUCGUUCAGGACGCAUUGAAGCGGACACAGCCUGCAGUGAAAAACAACACGACGGCGGGAUGACGGAUUUCUUACGAGUCAGCAACGAUAUAUGCAGACGUGGCAAAGCAAAGGAAAAGUGGGCUCUGGGACGAUGUGAUCAAGGAAAGGCCUCUACGAUGGAUCGCAUGCACGCGAAACUGUAGAUGCUUCAAGCGCUUCAAGCAACGUUAGUGCGCGCGCCUUUAUCGACCAUGCCCUCCUCUGCCGAAAGUUGCGUUGAUCUGUUUGCAACGACCACCUCGUGACAUCGGCACAAGUAUGAUGUAGACAGAGGUCCCUUAUGACGUUACACAAGAAGAGCUAGUAUUGUCGACGAAGAUACGCAGGCCGCACACAAUACCAUGACUAGCACCCAACAAGGACUAUUGUUCGUCCCCCCUCUCGCUCUGUUGUCAGGCUGCUCUCAAGGUGGUUCUGGCUGCUUACACCAGGAAUGAUUUUCCUUUUUCACAGGGGGAUACGCCCAAAGUGGCCACAUCGUUUCAUUCUUCACCACGCCUGGGCCCACCGAUGUGAAACGUUAGCUUUAAGUCCCAUCAAUUUUAUUUUAUUUAUUUAGUUUUAUUUAAAAAUACCUUACAGGCCUCCAUUGAGGCAUUGUGUAAGGGGGGCAGUAUGAAAAAGUGGACUUCCAUAGUAGUUACAUAACAAAAAGUUCAUGAACAGCGGUCAUGUAGCAGAUCACAUAAUAAGAAGAGCAAAACAAAAUAAUUAAUUAGUUCAUCAGCAAUGGUAACAAAAGAAAAUCAACAACACUAGCAAAGAUAAAACAUAUAAUAAGGAAAUAUUCAUCGAGUCAAGCACAAUUGAAAUCUUACAGUACUAGGGUUCGAAU
rnacentral:lncRNA from 1 species